rnacentral:lncRNA from 1 species
GGUUAGAGGGAUAGGAAAUACAACGACAUCUGUCACUGCAAGAGGUUUCUCAUUACCCCUUGGACCUGGCAGAUACUCACAGGGGACUCUUUUCUCUCGUGUGUACUUUGGUGACUUCUUCCAACAUUUCUGUUAGGUCUUGCAUACUGCACUCUUGUAAUGAUAGGCAAUGCCUUUCCUUCACGUGGCUGCCCCAGAUAUCCUUGGCUUCAGUCUCCACAGCCUCUUACCAGGAAGCCAUUAGCCCAAGAGCCCUCUCUCUUGGUCAGGAUUUCUUUCCAAAACACCCAAGGCUGCCUUUUCCUACCAAAGGUUACACAUGUAACCAUCCCUGGAAUACCUCUGACCCUCCAUCAGAGGGAAAUGCAGUGGCAAAUGGUUGGCUGGCGGAUAUGAGCUAUUCCAACUUUUUCACGAAACUCAUGUCAAUCACUGCAUCCCUAAGUUCCCCAUUUUCUGGGCACUUACAGAAGCUCUCCAUGUGGUCCCAGUGAAGCCCCUCUCACUGUGUAUUUAGUUUAGAAGUAGCUCCCAUCCCCAACUACAAUGCUAGGUAGAGAGAGAAGCAAGGAGGGGAACUUUAUGUUACAGCUCUUCUCCCCAAAAAUCCUUCCCCCAUAAAAAUCCCACUUCCACUUUCUAAAUCUUUUACAUAUCUUUGAAGUUUGGGCAUAUGGCCUAGCACCCUUUUGGAAUGCAGCAUGUUCACUAUCAUGAUUCAGCUUCAGCUGAAAAUUAAGAAUAUGCUGCAGAGUCCAAAACUCAACUCAACUCCUGACUUGUUUGCCCUACCAUGUUCCCUCUGUUAGUAGCCCAACCUAGAAACUUCGAUCAUGCUAAAAGCCCCUCCAUCACCAAAACUCAAUGCUUACAUGUCAGAAAUGUAAAUAUUUGCAUACUUUUUCCUUGCUUUGAAACUAGCAACCAAUAUCCUCUCAUCUGGACUAUUGCAAACAACUUGGGCUCCCUCUUAAUUAUUUUUUCAUUUGAUAAACAUCUGUUGAGGAUCUUCUUUAGUCCAUGAACUUUGAACAAAACGAUUAAAAACGCAAACCUGCACUCAAGGAU